CCUACGGGAGGCAGCAGUAGGGAAUUUUCGUCAAUGGGCGCAAGCCUGAACGAGCAAUGCCGCGUGAACGAGGAAGGUCUUCGGAUCGUAAAGUUCUGUUGAAGGGGAAAAAGAGCGGAGAGAGGAAAUGGUCUCCGAUUGAUAUUACCCUUCGAGGAAGUCACGGCUAACUACGUGCCAGCAGCCGCGGUAAUACGUAGGUGGCGAGCGUUAUCCGGAAUGAUUGGGCGAAAGGGGUGCGUAGGCGGCCUGCUAAGUCUGGAGUGAAAGGUACCGGCUCAACCGGGAUAGGCUCUGGAAACUGGCGGGCUAGAGAGCAGGAGAGGGCGGUGGAACUCCAUGUGGAGCGGUAAAAUGCGUAGAUAUAUGGAAGAACACCAGUGGCGAAGGCGGCCGCCUGGCCUGUUACUGACGCUGAGGCACGAAAGCGUGGGGAGCAAAUAGGAUUAGAUACCCCGGUAGUC
rnacentral:rRNA from 1 species